AUUGAACGCUGGCGGAAUGCUUUACACAUGCAAGUCGAACGGCAGCACGGACUUCGGUCUGGUGGCGAGUGGCGAACGGGUGAGUAAUGUAUCGGAACGUGCCCAGUCGUGGGGGAUAACGUAGUGAAAAUUACGCUAAUACCGCAUACGAUCUAUGGAUGAAAGCGGGGGAUCGCAAGAACUCGCGCGAUUGGAGCGGCCGAUAACAGAUUAGGUAGUUGGUGGGGUAAAGGCCCACCAAGCCAACGAUCUGUAGCUGGUCUGAGAGGACGACCAGACACACUGGAACUGAUAAACGGUCCAGACUCCUACGGGAGGAAGCAGUGGGGAAAUUUGGACAAUGGGCGAAAGCCUGAUCCAGCCAUUCCGCGUGCAGGAUGAAGGCCCUCGGGUUGUAAGCUGCUUUUGUACAGAACGAAAAGGUUUCUACUAAUACUAGGAGCUCAUGACGGUACUGUAAGAAUAAGCACCGGCUAACUACGUGCCAGCAGCCGCCGCAG
rnacentral:rRNA from 1 species